GUUGUCUCAUGGGGACGUAGCCAGAAGAUGCCAUCUAUGAACCAGAGGGUGGGCCCUCAUCAGAUACCAGAUCUUCCAGCAUUUGAUCUUGGACUUGCCAGUCUCCUGAGAUUUGGCCUCUAACUCAUCUAUGAGGAACUGGGGGCCCCUGGCAAGAGAAGAAACUGGUUCCCACUGUCUUGCUGCCAUGAUGCCUGCCCAGAUAUACCACCAUUUACAGUGGGAACACAGCUUAUGCUCUUGAUCUGGAUCUCUUAUGAUGUAAUUUGUUGAGCUAAUAAAUAAUACAUUCAAAAAAGUA